UUUGGCCCAGGCCAUUGAGAAUUUCUGGAAGGGCUCCCCUCGGGGUAAAGCCCUACAAAUCUUAGUGCUAAAGCUUCCGCUCAUAUUAAAUAAUGCAUUCAAGUGUGUAAUUAUAAUAUUAAUAUUUUUAAGACAAAUUGUGAGACUGGAGGGCUGGAACUUGUAGGAGAAAACUCUCAAAGCCUAAAUGGCGCCGAAGCCAGCUAAAAAUAGGUUGUCUCCCGAACCAGAUGGAAUGUUCACUGGAAUGGUUGUCUUCUUGGUUGAAAACGGGGUUCAGUCACGGCGAUUACAGAUUUGGAAACAGAAACUGAUACAAAACGGGGCCACUAUUGAGACUCGCCUGUCGAAGAGGGUCACGCUUGUUUUUGUCAUGAAUUCGAACGCGCUUCUCCAGCAAGUGGACAAAGAACGGUUACAUCGACUUAAAGGAAGAGUUCUCCUUUUUCAGUGGCUAGAGGACAGCUUGAGAUUAGGGAAAAAGGUUUGUGAGGAUCCAUACAGUGUAGAAGUUGAUUUGGAAGGAAAAAGUGAUCCAGACAAGUCUUUAGUAAAAGAAUCAGCUGAUGGAAACACUUCUAGUAGUGAUGAACCAUCGCCUCAGAAAAAGAUGAGGUCUUCUCUUGAGGGAUUAAAAAAUUCCAGUGUAGUUGACAGAGCAGAUAAAGAAAAUAAUGCUGUAAACAUUGCACCGAAUAGUUCCAGAAGUUCUGACACCUUACGCCUCGCGUUAAGCCCUGCAAUUACGAGUCCAAAGGCUCCCAGUACACCAAGCGAAAAUUCAUCCUUGGCAUACUGCCCACCUGAUCUAAACAGGAAUAUCACUGACAUAUUUGGAAAACUAAUCAACAUAUAUAGGGCAUUGGGUGAUGAUCGAAGGUCAUUUAGCUAUUACAAGGCUAUUCAAGUUAUUGAGAAGUUGCUAUUCAAAAUUGAAAGUGCAGAACAGGUCAAAGAUCUACCUGGUAUUGGGAAGUCAAUGCAGGAUCAUAUACAGGAGAUAGUGACUACUGGCAAAUUGUCCAAGUUGGAGCAUUUUGAAACAGAUGAAAAGGUACGGACAAUUAGUCUAUUUGGUGAAGUUUGGGGUAUUGGUCCAGCCACUGCCCUUAAAUUGUAUGAGAAAGGAUAUCGCACACUAGAUGAUCUUGAGAAUGAAGAUUCAUUAACGCACGCACAGAAGUUAGGAUUGAAAUAUUUUGAUGAUAUUAAGACGAGGGUUCCACGCAAUGAGGUUCAAGAAAUGGAACAACUCAUGCAGAAAACUGGGGAAGAGAUAUUGCCUGGGGUGGUUAUCAUAUGUGGAGGAUCUUAUAGACGAGGAAAAGCAUCUUGUGGGGAUUUGGAUGUGGUAAUUACUCACCCUGAUGGGAAAAGUCAUAAGGGUUUUUUACCAAGAUUCGUGAAGCAUUUGAAGAAUAUGGAGUUCUUAAGAGAGGAUUUGGUAUUUAGCAUUCACAGCGAGGAGGGCACUGAUUCAGGUGUUGACACAUAUUUUGGUCUUUGUACAUAUCCUGGAAGAGAACUGAGACACCGCAUAGAUUUCAAGGCAUAUCCGAGGGAUAUACAUGCAUUUGGUUUAAUAGCAUGGACUGGUAAUGAUGUAUUAAACCGGAGGCUGAGAUUGUUAGCAGAAUCCAAAGGAUACCGGCUUGAUGAUACAGGACUAUUUCCAGCCACUCAGGCUUCAGGUGGCAAAAGGGGUGUAAGGGCUAGCGCAAGCCUAAGGUUUGACACUGAAAAAGAAGUUUUUGAUUUCCUGGGGUUCCUUUGGCUUGAACCUCAUGAAAGAAAUCUCUGAGAUGUAUAUAGUUUGCAUGAGGAUCUUUUAUAUGUGAACACAUCUAGGAGGAGCCAACAAAUUCGACGAUGCACAACUAAGAAGUGAAAGCUGGAUCAUUUUUGGCAGUUAAAGUGAGACCUGGCUCGUUUUUGCUGGUUUUUAUCCUUGAAGGGAUUUGCGUGCUAUCUACUCGGUGAUCUCUCAUCACUACCUUUGCGCGCCAAAGAUUGUGUGAUUGGUUAAUAGUGUUGCCAACCGAAAGCUCCGCAGGUGGUUUCAUUUGGGCAAUUCAUUACCAUCGUGACAAUAGGGAUUUGCGCAAUGGAGUUAUGUCUUAAUUCUCAAAUAUCAUAUCCAGCAAUGGGGCAUCAGAACAUCCUACUGGAAUUUACACCUAAAGUCAGAAGGUGAUUAGACCUCCAUUGUUGUAAGGGGGGAGGAUUUUUCAAUUCCUCCAUAUAAGGCUGACCGAUUAGUAACUGCACUAAAUUUUGCUAUAUGUAAAGCCUCCGUAUGAAAUGAAAAUGGAAUAGUUUCAGCCAAAAAUGGCCUAAUUUAUUUAUUU